rnacentral:rRNA from 1 species
AUUGAACGCUGGCGGCAGGCUUAACACAUGCAAGUCGAGCGAGAGGCGGACGGGUGAGCAAUGUAUGGGAACCUGCCUGACGGAGGGGGAUAACUAAUGGAAACGGUAGAUAAUACCGCAUAACAUCCGUCGUGCCCAGGUGGGAUUAGCUAGCAGGGUGGGUAAUGGCUGACCAAGGCGACGAUCCCUAGCUGGUCUGAGAGGCUGACCAGCCACACUGGAACGGAGACACGGUCCAGACUCCUACGGGAGGCAGCAGUGGGGAAUAUUGGACAAUGGGCGAAAGCCUGAUGCAGCCAUGCCGCGUGUGUGAAGAAGGCCUUCGGGUUGUAAAGCACUUUCAGCGGGGAGGCGUUACUCGCAGAGAAAGCACCGGCUAACUCCGUGCCAGCAGCCGCGGUAAUAC